rnacentral:lncRNA from 1 species
AGAGUUCCACUGGAACACCGUAUCCUACCGUAUAUGUUUACCUUGUAUCAUGAUAAUUGUUUCAUGCUAAAAUGUCAACAUGAAAUCCUGAACUAUGCCUGUGAUAUGCUCCAUACCUGUUACCUGACCAAUGUACUUAUAUCAUGAUACCUGUCUCAUGAUAAAUGUCUCAUACCAUGAUAAAUAUCUCAAAUUACUCGUACAAUGAUUAUCACCUCAUGAUAACACGCCAUUGUGUAACAUUGAACCAUGCAUAUGAUAUGCCCAACUUACUUGAUUUAUUUGAACUGUUAGAGUGUCUUGGAACCUCACUGGGCUGUGUAGCUCAUCCCACGUUGUGGUUUUCUUUUACAGGGUUCGAGACCAAGGGUGCUCGUGAGUAGUACUAGAUUGUUUUCUUUUGAAAACUUUAAGUUAUAUUAUAACGGAUGGCUAUUGUACCCUUUUCCGUUGGGUUGUAUUUAAGCUUGGAAGCUGCAUAAUUGUAAGUGUGAGAUAUUUGGAGUACUUUAAUUAUGUAUUGAAGUUACUUAAAGUAUUUCGAGCUUUUGAAUGAUGGAUUGUAGUGAGUCCUGGCGAGAGCUGGGCAGGCGUCCCGCGGAUACCCUUUGGUUCGCCUUAGGGAGAAGUGGGGGCUACAAUUGGUAUCAGAGCUUAGGCUUCAGAUUUUGUAGUGUAUCCUAGGCUUAAAUGUUUAGGAUGCCGGACUGUGGGACUAUUCUGAAAGUUAAAUGAUUGCUUGUAGUGAUGAAAUUUAGAGCCACUUCACGUGGUCUCUACAAAGGAGCAAGAUAGGGCCAAGUGGUGUUUGGUCCUUACUAUGUGAUUAAGUAAAGACUUAAGUGCCCUUCUAGAAAUGUAAGUUGUGAAUCAUGAAUGUUAUAGGUUGUAAAACCUUUAUCUUGAUAAUUGGAGGGAAUUUGAUAUGUAUGUUGGGUAGGAAUCUCGAAUGUGGUGAUUUACUCUUGGACCGGCCGGCUCGAGAUGUGAAUUAUCCUAUUUUGGAUUCUUGCCCGAGUACUUGGAGUGGAAAGCAACCAUAGGACUUUAUAUCUCCAUUUGUGGGGAAUAAGAAUGAAUCGAUAUUUCAUGUGAAUGGUUACAGGAAACCAAUAAUUGUUUGGUUAAGAUGGUACAAUAAUUAAGAGUGGAAGAUGGAAAAUAUCGUAACCCAAAAGAUCCUUGUGUUGGGAUUGAAAUCGAGCAUGUUAGGGAACGAGAAUCGUCUAGUUCCAAUUAAUCUAGUGAAUCUCUACUGGUGAUCUUUCAUAGUGAGACGAUGGGAGUAGAACUUAAGAGUUUGCGCCUUGGAGAUGAAUGUACUUGUGAUAAUCACUUGUUUAUUUUUGUUAUUGACUUUGACUUGGCAUGAACUUUACUUGGCCAUAAUUUGUGUUAUGAUUUAAUGAACUCUAGUUUGUGUUUACUUGCAUAGUGAUAAUGUUAUUUGUGAAAGUGUCUUCAUCCUCUUUAAAUGUUGCUACUGGUAUAUGAGUGUAGUUCAAUUUUAACUAAGUGUGAGGGUUAUGCAUGUGCGUAUAGAUUAGUUGUGGACAUGGAAACUAGAGGACAACGAAAGGGACGUCAACCUAGACAACCCCGAAAUGAAAGAGUAGCUAAUGGGUCCGAUAUCGAUCAAAACGUUGAGCUAAGUGCUGGGAGAGGAAAUGACCAGAUAGGACAAGUUUUAACUCGCAUGACGGAUAUCCUAGAGCUCUUGGUAGCUCAACAAGGUCAAGGUGUUGGACAAGGAAACCAACGUGGAAACCAAGAGAUAGGGGAGGAUCGAGCUUUAGAGCGGUUUCAGAAAUUCUCCCGCCCAAGUUUGCUGGAGGGCCUGAUCCAGAGGUGGCUGAGAAUUGGUUAGAAAUAUAAGAAAUAUAUUCGAUGCCUUGGAUUACACAGAGGAGAGACAAGUCACAUUUGCUGUAUUUCAACUUGAAGGAGCAGCCCGAGCAUGGUGGAAUGUUAUAAGAAACAAGUGGGAAAGAGAUCAAACUCCGAGAAUUUGGAUAAACUUCGUGCGUGAAUUUAAUGAGAAAUUUCUUCCUCCACUUGUCCAAGAAAAGAGAGAAGAUGAUUUUAUAAAGCUUCGUCAAGGAACUUUAAGCGUAGCUGAGUAUGAAACACGCUUUACGAAGUUAUCUACAUAUGCCCCAGAAUUGGUGGCUACUGAACGGAAGAGAAUAAGACGGUUUAUCCAAGGAUUAGAUUUGGAAAUCCAAGAUGCCCUUGCCGCAGCACAGGUUGAAACAUUUAGUGACGCUCUUGAAAAAGCGCAAAGGGUAGAAAGUACAAAAUCUCAACUGAGAGCUUUUCAAGCAAGGAAAAGAGAUUGCAUCUGAUAGUACACCAGGAGGAAAUGAACCACCACCCAAAGUUAGAAAAGAGUGGAUGGAUAGUGGUAGACUAUCACUUCCUGCACCACUCAUGAUAAAGAACCAAAAGGAACUAUGUCAGCACGAGGGACUUCAGUAGGACAAACACGACCAAAGAAAACCUCGCAAGUAAGUCAGGUCGCAACACCUCGUCCGACUUGUGGAUAUUGUGGAAGGACGAAUCACACUGAAGAAAACUGUUGGCUAAAGGGACAAAAGUGUAUGGGGUGUGGAAGUACCAACCAUAAAGUUCAUGACUGUCCAAGGAGGUAUCCGCGAGAAACUACUUCAACAAGGAAAUGGAACUGUUCCUCGACAAGUCAAUGGAAGGAGAAACCGACCAGUGACAUCUGAAAGAACGCAUGACAUGAAACACACACGCGGUUCAGAGUUGUCCGAGAUUACAGAAGGUAUGAAUUUCGAGGACGAAAUUCUUUUAAGGAGGGGAGGUUGUGAGGACUCGCAAAAUUUACUUAUUUAAUCUCCUAUUUCUAGCUUAUUUAAUUAUUUAUUUGGCCUUUUGCUCCGAAUAUUAUUUUCUAAGUUCUUGAGAUCUAAUUACAUGAAAAUAUAGUUUCAUUAUAUUUUUAAAAUGACUUGUUUCAAAAAUUAAUUUUCGGAAGCUCGUUUUGUAAAAAUAGUGAACACGUCUUUGGAAAUCUUGAUCGAUUGAGAGUACAAUAGGUUUGAAAUAUUGGAGACAUGUACAAUGGACCUAAAAUAGGCAUUUUAAUGUUUAAAUACUCAAGUGAUGGUUAGUAGUACGGACGUUAUAAGAAUUUCUCGGAGGUUUCGCGUUAUAGCGAUAAAAUUGACGGUACACGUUUCCACACGCGUGACUUUAUUUGAGGGACUUUAGACCCUUAUUUCGGGAUAAUUAAGAGUGAAUAUUAUCUACAUGAAUAUAAGUGCAUUAGAGGUUUAGUGCACUAGUGAACCAAACGCGCGAGAAAUCGAGCCGAAACGCGCCCAAACGCACCAAACGCACCCUAGUGAGAGUUGACUUUGGGGAUGAUUUUUGCACCACACAUUGUGUCUUCCUUAAGAAGCUAAAUUUAGACCAAACACUCUCUCUCCUAGUCUCUCUCUUGGCCGAAUUCUCUGCAGCAAAAACACAACACAAAGUUGCCAUUUUCAUCCUCAAUUCUUGCACAAAAACUUCAUGGAUUCACACCAAAUUUGAACUACACUUAGCUUGUCACGUGGAGAGAUCAUCUAGCUAGAAAAAGGAGGAGUUUCUCACGGUUUCUUGGAGCAUCUUGAGGACCGAAAUUUCUGGUUUAAAGCAACAAGGAGGUAUAACCUCAUCCUACACCUUAAGCUUGGUUUAUGAUGGUAGAAAUGCAUCCUUAAGCUAUUGCAUGUGUAUGGGUAUCUUGAUAUUGUUGGAAAAAUGUGAAAGUGGGCUCUAUGGAUUCCCACACUUGGGUUGUUGCUGAUUUGAUGAUUGAUGGUGGAUAUAUUGUUGGUUUAGUGGUUAAAAUGAUGGAUUAAUGGUGUGUAAUUGACAGAAAUUUCAUUGGGUGCAAGAGGCAAAAGUUUCCGAUUUUACCCCUGCCUUGUCCGACCACUUUUGUGCAAAAUUUUGAAGUUCUAAUGGCUUGAUUAUGUUGUUUACAUGUUAUUGUGAGUGUGUACAAAAUUUCAUUGAAAAAUAACAUGAUUUGGUUGGUCAAAUGAAUUGAUUUCGAAAGUUAGCAAAUCUGGAAAAUGAUUCCCGUAUUGACCAGGCAGUCAUUUUGUAUCGGCUAUAACUCUUUACUCCGAUGUCGAAAUCAAGUGCCGUUUGCGGCAUUGGAAACUAGACAUUCCCAGCUUUCCAUUGGUACUAAAUUCGCGUUCUGGUUCCACUUGAGUGAGCCACACCAUUCGUUUGAAAAUCACUGCCCUGUUUCGUUGCUCUCCAGGAGACAGGACAGAAAUUUCUUCUUGAUGCUCAAAAACGAGCUGUUUGUGGAUAGAAUUUGGAAAUGGUUUCUUCUGAGAAAAUUCAGCUUUAUGAGAGAGAUUUCUAACGCCAUCAACACGCUCAAUUCCAAGUUGAAUUGAGUGAGUUGUGGCCAUAUUUCGAAACUGAUGCAGUGAGUAAAAAUCCUCUUUUGACUAGUUAAAUGGCCUAGCUUGAUUUGGGACUUGUUGUUUUGGAAAAUUUGAUGUCCAACAUCUACCAAACUUUAUAUUAGAUGUUUCUUGGACUUUGUUUUACAAAUAAACCAGAUUUGGGUUGGUUGCUUUGGACAAAAUAUUUAAAAAGGAAAGAAGAGCUAGAAGACAGUUUUACCUUGGGAAAUUUCCUGAACUUUGAUGGUUUAGUUAACUACCUUCCCGUGUGAAUUUUCAAAUGAAAUUUGGUAGAAGAGUAAUCCUCAUAUGGAGGUUUAAUUGUACAAAAUUUGGUAAUAUUCUAAGACCAUUUUGAUAUGCAAAUGAUGUCACAAAAUUCGCUCAUCGAAUCUGGAAAACUUUUGUUUUCUCUUAGCCGAAUGGCAAAUCUGAUUUGGAGAGUUUUAUUUCGAAAAUUUGGAUGUCAAUGGUCUUUAAAUUGCUCAGUGAAUGUUUAUGAACUCCUGGUUUCAAUAAUGGAGAGAUUUGGAACUGAUUUCAUGGUACAAAAAGUUUGUAAACAAAAGAAAAGUGAGAAGGUAGUUUAGCCUUGAAACUCUUCAUAAACUUUGGUUGUUUUAAUGACUACCUUACCGUGUGAGUUUUUGUAUGAACUUGUAGAAAUGUUGUUCACAUAUGGAAGAUUUAGUGUACCAAGUUUUAUGUAUUUCCACUGCCAACUUGAUGACCAAAUGAUAUUUCAAAUCUAGUUUUAAACCUGGAAAAUAGCCCAACAGUCUUAACUUUUUCAGCAACUUGGAGGUACUAUAUCUUGGUGCUCGAAACUCCGUUUCUCGUUCCGCUUGUUUUGUUAUACUCUUGGAUUGCAACACUAAUUGAUUUCCAAAUUUCAAAGGUUAGUUCAAAACAAGUGAUUUUGCCGAAUUUCUAAAGUUGGCCAAAAACCAACUUAAAUCUGUCUUGGUAAUUCAAGUUACCAACUUUGAGCCAAAAUUUGAGUGCCUUUCACUUACAUUCGUGGAAAAGUGUCUUCUAAGAACUUUUAGUACUUUGAAAGAGGAUUCCAACAGUAAAGUUUUCCAAUUUUGGACUUGUGGAGAGUGAAAUAUGAUUUUUCAAAUAUUACUUGUUAAAUCUGGAAUUUUUUAACUUAAAGGAAACUAAAGGUUUCAAACCCUCCAUUUUCCUUCAAUAUCAUUUGAUCGUUUUACAUUUGAUUUUAAAGAUGGAAAUCAGAUUUGUCUUGUAUUUUAAAACCCACUUUUGAACCUCGAGUUACACGAACUCUUAGACUUGCCUCUGCGUUAAUUUCUUAGAUUGUACUAGUGUACAAUUUUCCUCGAUAAUUAGAAUGAUUUUGAGUGGUAGUUGAUUAUUGUUGCUCAGGCACUCGAGGGAAUCUCCCAGAGGAACUCGGAGCGGACACCUAAAACGCUUGUUUGAGAACUACUCGCUUGUUUUGACUAGGUGAGUGUUCCAUAUAGGAAUACGUAAUUGGAAUAAGUCUAUGACAUGCUUAACCCAUGGUCAUUAAGUAUUUACCACACUCAUGCAUAUUUGAAUAAUGUAUACUUGAAUUGCUCGACAUAAACACCUGAAGUAUGUAUAUUUGAACUUUGAUAUGAAAUGCUUAAAGAGCAUACUUAUGUGAUUACUUGAAAUACUAGAUAUGAAAUGUUUGGAGAGCAUAUUUACAUGAUGUGUUUAAAUGAUUAAUUAUGCUAUGGAAGCAUAAGUCGGUUGGAGUGAAUCUCCUCGACUCUUACGUGGUGAAAGUGAAAAACGGCCAAUGGCGGCCUAUUGAAAUGACAUAUGUCUACCAAUUAACCGUAAUUACUACCGUUAACCGUUUACGUUUACCGUGUUUACUUACCGUUUUCUAAUCUAUGUGGUUACUUGCCUACUUGAUUAUCUGCUUACGUGAUCACCAACUUACUUGAUUACUUGACCACCUGAUUACUUGAUUAUCAUAAAUUAUAUGCUCAUAUGAAGUGGGCCACGGUUUUAAAGCUGAGUCCAUCAUUAUUAGCUGUGUACUUUACCUCACUCGACCUACUCAAAUGAUGAAUUUUUACUUUUGUCGAAUUACUUGGUUACCUGUGCAUGUUGUAAGCUCUAAGCUGAACUUGGGCCCCGCCCUGGUUACUGACCUACUCGAGCCAGGACUGGGCUCGGUCGGGUAGGUUGGAACCCUGGCCACCGUUUCGGUAUACUCGAGUAUUACCACUGGAGGGAUAAGGCGAUGGCCAGACACGUACCGUGGGGAUCAGAAGUCAUAAGGUGCAGAUGACCGACAGAGUUCCACUGGAACACCGUAUCCUACCGUAUAUGUUUACCUUGUAUCAUGAUAAUUGUUUCAUGCUAAAAUGUCAACAUGAAAUCCUGAACUAUGGUGAUAUGCUUCCAUACCUGUUACCUGACCAAUGUACUUAUAUCAUGAUACCUGUCUCAUGAUAAAUGUCUCUAUACCAUGAUAAAUGUCUCAAAUUACUCGUACAAUGAUUAUCACCUCAUGAUAACACGCCAUUGUGUAACCAUUGAACCAUGCAUAUGAUAUGCCCAACUUACUUGAUUUAUUUGAACUGUUAGAGUGUCUUGGAACCUCACUGGGCUGUGUAGCUCAUCCCACGUUGUGGUUUUCUUUUUACAGGGUUCGAGACCAAGGGUGCUCGUGAGUAGUACUAGAUUGUUUUCUUUUGAAACUUUAAGUUAUAUUAUAACGGAUGGCUAUUGUACCCUUUUUCGUUGGGUUGUAUUUUAAGCUUGGAAGCUGCAUAAUUGUAAGUGUGAGAUAUUUGGAGUACUUUAAUUAUGUAUUGAAGUUACUUAAAGUAUUUCGAGCUUUUGAAUGAUGGAUUGUAGUGAGUCCUGGCGAGAAGCUGGGCAGGCGUCCCGCGGAUACCCUUUGGUUCGCCUUAGGGAGAAGUGGGGGCGUUACAAUUGGUAUCAGAGCUUAGGCUUCAGAUUUUGUAGUGUAUCCUAGGCUUAAAUGUUUAGGAUGCCGGACUGUGGGACUAUUCUGAAAGUUAAAUGAUUGCUUGUAGUGAUGAAAUUUAGAGCCACUUCACGUGGUCUCUACAAAGGAGCAAGAUAGGGCCAAGUGGUGUUUGGUCCUUACUAUGUGAUUAAGUAAAGACUUAAGUGCCCUUCUAGAAAUGUAAGUUGUGAAUCAUGAAUGUUAUAGGUUGUAAAACCUUUAUCUUGAUAAUUGGAGGGAAUUUGAUAUGUAUGUUGGGUAGGAAUCUCGAAUGUGGUGAUUUACUCUUGGGACCGGCCGGCUCGAGAUGUGAAUUAUCCUAUUUUGGAUUCUUGAACCCGAGUACUUGGAGUGGAAAGCAACCAUAGGGACUUUAUAUCUCCAUUUGUGGGGAAUAAGAAUGAAUCGAUAUUUCAUGUGAAUGGUUACAGGAAACCAAUAAUUGUUUGGUUAAGAUGGUACAAUAAUUAAGAGUGGAAGAUGGAAAAUAUCGUAACCCAAAAGAUCCUUGUGUUGGGAUUGAAAUCGAGCAUGUUAGGGAACGAGAAUCGUCUAGUUCCAAUUAAUCUAGUGAAUCUCUACUGGUGAUCUUUCAUAGUGAGACGAUGGGAGUAGAACUUAAGAGUUUGCGCCUUGGAGAUGAAUGUACUUGUGAUAAUCACUUGUUUAUUUUUGUUAUUGACUUUGACUUGGCAUGAACUUUACUUGGCCAUAAUUUGUGUUAUGAUUUAAUGAACUCUAGUUUGUGUUUACUUGCAUAGUGAUAAUGUUAUUUGUGAAAGUGUCUUCAUCCUCUUUAAAUGUUGCUACUGGUAUAUGAGUGUAGUUCAAUUUUAACUAAGUGUGAGGGUUAUGCAUGUGCGUAUAGAUUAGUUGUGGACAUGGAAACUAGAGGACAACGAAAGGGACGUCAACCUAGACAACCCCGAAAUGAAAGAGUAGCUAAUGGGUCCGAUAUCGAUCAAAACGUUGAGCUAAGUGCUGGGAGAGGAAAUGACCAGAUAGGACAAGUUUUAACUCGCAUGACGGAUAUCCUAGAGCUCUUGGUAGCUCAACAAGGUCAAGGUGUUGGACAAGGAAACCAACGUGGAAACCAAGAGAUAGGGGAGGAUCGAGCUUUAGAGCGGUUUCAGAAAUUCUCUCCGCCCAAGUUUGCUGGAGGGCCUGAUCCAGAGGUGGCUGAGAAUUGGUUAGAAAUAUAAGAAAUAUAUUCGAUGCCUUGGAUUACACAGAGGAGAGACAAGUCACAUUUGCUGUAUUUCAACUUGAAGGAGCAGCCCGAGCAUGGUGGAAUGUUAUAAGAAACAAGUGGGAAAGAGAUCAAACUCCGAGAAUUUGGAUAAACUUCGUGCGUGAAUUUAAUGAGAAAUUUCUUCCUCCACUUGUCCAAGAAAAGAGAGAAGAUGAUUUUAUAAAGCUUCGUCAAGGAACUUUAAGCGUAGCUGAGUAUGAAACACGCUUUACGAAGUUAUCUACAUAUGCCCCAGAAUUGGUGGCUACUGAACGGAAGAGAAUAAGACGGUUUAUCCAAGGAUUAGAUUUGGAAAUCCAAGAUGCCCUUGCCGCAGCACAGGUUGAAACAUUUAGUGACGCUCUUGAAAAAGCGCAAAGGGUAGAAAGCACAAAAUCUCAACUGAGAGCUUUUCAAAAAAGGAAAAGAGAUACAUCUGACAGUACACUAGGAAAAAAUGGACCACCACCCAAAGUUAGAAAAGAAGUGGAUGAAGUAGGACUGUUACACUUCCUGCACCACUCAUGAUAAAGGAACCAAAAGGAACUAUGUCACGAGGGACUUCAGUAGGACAAACACGAUCAAAGAAAACCUCGCAAGCAAGUCAGGUCACAACACCUCGUCCGACUUGUGGAUAUUGUGGAAGGACGAAUCACACUGAAGAAAACUGUUGGCUAAAGGGACGAAAGUGUAUGGGAUGUGGGAGUACCAAUCAUAAAGUUCAUGACUGUCCAAGGAGGUAUCCGAGAAACUACUGCUCAACAAGGAAAUGGAACUGUUCCUCGACAAGUCAAUGGAAGGAGAAACCGACCAAUGGCAUCUGAAAGAACGCAUGACAUGAACACACACGGUUCAGAGUUGUCUGAGAUUACAGAAGGUAUGAAUUUCGAGGACGAAAUUCUUUUAAGGAGGGGAGGUUGUGAGGACUCGCAAAAUUUACUUAUUUAAUCUCCUAUUUCUAGCUUAUUUAAUUAUUUAUUUGGUCUUUUACUCCGAAUAUUAUUUUCUAAGCUCUUGAGACUAAUUACAUGGAAAUAUAGUUUCAUUAUAUUUUUAAAAUGACUUGUUUCAAAAAUUAAUUUUCGGAAGCUCGUUUUGUAAAAAUAGUGAACACGUCUUUGGAAAUCUUGAUCGAUUGAGAGUACAAUAGGUUUGAAAUAUUGGAGACAUGUACAAUGGACCUAAAAUUAGGCAUUUUAAUGUUUAAAUACUCAAGUGAUGGUUAGUAGUACGGACGUUAUAAGAAUUUCUCGGAGGUUUCGCGUUAUAGCGAUAAAAUUGACGGUACACGUUUCCACACGCGUGACUUUAUUUGAGGGACUUUAGACCCUUAUUUCGGGAUAAUUAAGAGUGAAUAUUAUCUACAUGAAUAUAAGUGCAUUAGAGGUUUAGUGCACUAGUGAACCAAACGCGCGAGAAAUCGAGCCGAAACGCGCCCAAACGCACCCAAACGCACCCUAGUGAGAGUUGACUUUGGGGAUGAUUUUUGCACCACACAUUGUGUCUUCCUUAAGAAGCUAAAUUUAGACCAAACACUCUCUCUCCUAGUCUCUCUCUUGGCCGAAUUCUCUGCAGCAAAAACACAACACAAAGUUGCCAUUUUCAUCUCAAUUCUUGCACAAAAACUUCAUGGAUUCACACCAAAUUUGAACUACACUUAGCUUGUCACGUGGAGAGAUCAUCUAGCUAGAAAAAGGAGGAGUUUCUCACGGUUUCUUGGAGCAUCUUGAGGACCGAAAUUUCUGGUUUAAAGCAACAAGGAGGUAUAACCUCAUCCUACACCUUAAGCUUGGUUUAUGAUGGUAGAAAUGCAUCCUUAAGCUAUUGCAUGUGUAUGGGUAUCUUGAUAUUGUUGGAAAAAUGUGAAAGUGGGCUCUAUGGAUUCCCACACUUGGGUUGUUGCUGAUUUGAUGAUUGAUGGUGGAUAUAUUGUUGGUUUAGUGGUUAAAAUGAUGGAUUAAUGGUGUGUAAUUGACAGAAAUUUCAUUGGGUGCAAGAGGCAAAAGUUUCCGAUUUUACCCCUGCCUUGUCCGACCACUUUUGUGCAAAAUUUUGAAGUUCUAAUGGCUUGAUUAUGUUGUUUACAUGUUAUUGUGAGUGUGUACAAAAUUUCAUUGAAAAAUAACAUGAUUUGGUUGGUCAAAUGAAUUGAUUUCGAAAGUUAGCAAAUCUGGAAAAUGAUUCCCGUAUUGACCAGGCAGUCAUUUUGUAUCGGCUAUAACUCUUUACUCCGAUGUCGAAAUCAAGUGCCGUUUGCGGCAUUGGAAACUAGACAUUCCCAGCUUUCCAUUGGUACUAAAUUCGCGUUCUGGUUCCACUUGAGUGAGCCACACCAUUCGUUUGAAAAUCACUGCCCUGUUUCGUUGCUCUCCAGGAGACAGGACAGAAAUUUCUUCUUGAUGCUCAAAAACGAGCUGUUUGUGGAUAGAAUUUGGAAAUGGUUUCUUCUGAGAAAAUUCAGCUUUAUGAGAGAGAUUUCUAACGCCAUCAACCACGCUCAAUUCCAAGUUGAAUUGAGUGAGUUGUGGCCAUAUUUCGAAACUGAUGCAGUGAGUAAAAAUCCUCUUUUGACUAGUUAAAUGGCCUAGCUUGAUUUGGGACUUGUUGUUUUGGAAAAUUUGAUGUCCAACAUCUACCAAACUUUAUAUUAGAUGUUUCUUGGACUUUGUUUUACAAAUAAACCAGAUUUGGGUUGGUUGCUUUGGACAAAAUAUUUAAAAAGGAAAGAAGAGCUAGAAGACAGUUUUACCUUGGGAAAUUUCCUGAACUUUGAUGGUUUAGUUAACUACCUUCCCGUGUGAAUUUUCAAAUGAAAUUUGAUAGAAGAGUAAUCCUCAUAUGGAGGUUUAAUUGUACAAAAUUUGGUAAUAUUCUAAGACCAUUUUGAUAUGCAAAUGAUGUCACAAAAUUCGCUCAUCGAAUCUGGAAAACUUUUGUUUUCUCUUAGCCGAAUGGCCAAAUCUGAUUUGGAGAGUUUUAUUUCGAAAAUUUGGAUGUCAAUGGUCUUUAAAUUGCUCAGUGAAUGUUUAUGAACUCCUGGUUUCAAUAAUGGAGAGAUUUGGAACUGAUUUCAUGGUACAAAAAGUUUGUAAACAAAGAAAAGUGAGAAGGUAGUUUAGCCUUGAAACUCUUCAUAAACUUUGGUUGUUUUAAUGACUACCUUACCGUGUGAGUUUUUGUAUGAAACUUGGUAGAAAUGUUGUUCACAUAUGGAAGAUUUAGUGUACCAAGUUUUAUGUAUUUCCACUGCCAACUUGAUGACCAAAUGAUAUUUCAAAUCUAGUUUUAAACCUGGAAAAUAGCCCAACAGUCUUAACUUUUUCAGCAACUUGGAGGUACUAUAUCUUGGUGCUCGAAACUCCGUUUCUCGUUCCGCUUGUUUUGUUAUACUCUUGGAUUGCAACACUAAUUGAUUUCCAAAUUUCAAAGGUUAGUUCAAAACAAGUGAAUUUUGCCGAAUUUCUAAAGUUGGCCAAAAACCAACUUAAAUCUGUCUUGGUAAUUCAAGUUACCAACUUUGAGCCAAAAUUUGAGUGCCUUUCACUUACAUUCGUGGAAAAGUGUCUUCUAAGAACUUUUAGUACUUUGAAAGAGGAUUCCAACAGUACCAAGUUUUCCAAUUUUGGACUUGUGGAGAGUGAAAUAUGAUUUUUCAAAUAUUACUUGUUAAAUCUGGAAUUUUUAACUUAAAGGAAACUAAGGUUUCAAACCCUCAUUUUCCUUCAAUAUCAUUUGAUCGUUUUACAUUUGAUUUAAAGAUGGAAAUCAGAUUUGUCUUGUAUUUUAAAACCCACUUUUGAACCUCGAGUUACACGAACUCUUAGACUUGCUCUGCGUUAAUUUCUUAGAUUGUACUAGUGUACAAUUUUCCUCGAUAAUUAGAAUGAUUUUGAGUGGUAGUUGAUUAUUGUUGCUCAGGCACUCGAGGGAAUCUCCCAGAGGAACUCGGAGCGGACACCUAAAACGCUUGUUUGAGAACUACUCGCUUGUUUUGACUAGGUGAGUGUUCCAUAUAGGAAUACGUAAUUGGAAUAAGUCUAUGACAUGCUUAACCCAUGGUCAUUAAGUAUUUACCACACUCAUGCAUAUUUGAAUAAUGUAUACUUGAAUUGCUCGACAUGAAACACCUGAAGUAUGUAUAUUUGAACUAUUGAUAUGAAAUGCUUAAAGAGCAUACUUAUGUGAUUACUUGAAAUACUAGAUAUGAAAUGUUUGGAGAGCAUAUUUACAUGAUGUGUUUAAAUGAUUAAUUAUGCUAUGGAAGCAUAAGUCGGUUGGAGUGAAUCUCCUCGACUCUUACGUGGUGAAAGUGAAAAACGGCCAAUGGCGGCCUAUUGAAAUGACAUAUGUCUACCAAUUAACCGUAAUUACUACCGUUAACCGUU